CUUUGCGUGACCGCGGCAGGUUGGUCCUGGAGCAGAUGAGCGCAGAAUAUUUAGGCGAAAACGCGAGGAGGGGGUGGGAUCGCGGGGCAGGAGUAUCUCCGCCAAGAAAAUUAUGCAUGCGUUAGGGAAGCUCUGAGAGAAUGGCUGUGGAAGCUCUCCACUGCGGUUUGAAUCCACGGGGUAUUGAUCACCCUGCCCAUGGUGAAGGUAUUAAACUACAAAUUGAAGGUGAAGGUGUUGAGUCUCAAUCCAUUAAAAAUAAAACUUUCCAGAAGGUGCUUGACCAAAAAGGAACCCCCAAGCGACUGCAGACAGAAGCCGAGACAACUAAGUCGGCUACAGUAAAGCUGUCAAAACCAGUGGCCCUGUGGACCCAGCAGGAUGUCUGCAAGUGGCUGAAGAAACAUUGUCCAAAUCAGUAUCAGAUCUACAGUGAGUCAUUCAAACAGCACGACAUAACUGGGCGAGCCCUGCUGAGACUUACAGACAAAAAGCUUGAGCGAAUGGGGAUUGCCCAGGAGAACCUCCGGCAGCUCAUCUUGCAACAGGUGCUCCAGCUGAAGGUGCGAGAAGAAGUCAGAAACCUGCAGUUACUCACACAAGGGGAAAUCCAGGAGCUGUGGGAAGUAGCAGGAAAGUGACUCACCCAUCCUGGAAUUAGUCAUUGAAGCCGUGGGCCUGGGAUGCAGGGCUGAAGUCCUGGAUGUUGGCUGAAGAAGAAAGUGCCAACUUUAGAAGCAAGGCCUCAGCCGAGGGUUCUCCAUAAAUGCAGUUAGCCUUCCAAGCUGCUGUCCUGCCAAUCAAUAUGAACAUGGCCUGUUCCUCAGAGAAAGACUAACUCAUGGCACUGCCAGAAGAUAUCCUUGGAGCAUUGACAGAUUAACCAGAUUAACUGAAAAACCACCCAUUCAGUCAAGAUUAUGGGCUGUGGAAAAUCUUAGUUUGCUCUGGAUUUUUAAAUGAGGUGCAUAAUAUACAGUGCCAACUUGUUCCAAGUGGUCAUUGGCAGACCAUUAGCUGGAAAAUUGCUUCCAGUUUUCAUCACUGUGCAUAACUGAGGCUCUCUUUGGGGAGCUGUCUGUGCCCUUCACUACAGGUCCUGUUUUAGCAUGACAACUACUGGAUUAUUUUAUUAUGUGUGCAGAUGGCAUGAUGUGUUAGAAAAAAACAAAAUUACAGCAGUCCUGCAAUCUCAGUGGAAGUGUUCACAAUAUUAUGCCCUGGUAGGAAUAUAAACAUGUCUCGAUUGUGUUAGUUAUGGUGUCUAAAGGUAGUCUGUCCAACUCUUCAGCACUUUACAUGAUAACCCUACACAGAAAUGCAUUAGCACGUUCAGUACAUGUGAGAAGACAAGUCUUUUGUGCUUUCUUAUAAAUUUUGUCCUAUUUUGGCUCAGACUGUCCAAAACAAGACUCCACUCCCAGCAUAUACCCCAUAGUUUGGGACAGAUUGGUAAAUAUGGCCACAAUACUGUUAGACUUAAUCCCUUGACACUUUACUGGAUUUCUUACAGCACCAAAGGGAGAUAAAGGUGGGCCUGGGGAAUGGUGGUCGUUUCCUCUUGUUUCCUCUUCUUGGGCACAACUUACCACAAGCACAUCCACACACUCAAACACAGGAGGCUUCUUUCUAAUUGGCCAGUGUACAUAGUCUCUCUUUCUAUAGAAGAGUUCUUUCACCAAAAAUGGGGGGAAUGGCCAUAUUUUCAUCUUAGACUAUGGUGCAUUGAUAGUAAGGACAGCAGAAUAAAGGGGUGUGACUUUAACAUUUUGGAAAACUCUUUAGGUCAAGUGUUGAUCUCAGUUCUCUGAAGAGGAAAAAAAUAGUGUGACCCCCUGCAUGUCUAGAGAAGCAAGAGUUUCCAGCCGCACACUAGGUUUCUUCUUCAGAAGAGAACCUACUAGUCCUUUUUAAUCCUCUCUGGAAUUAUACCCGUAACUAAUAUGUUUUACUAUGUUUUACAACAAAGCACAGUCCUGGGGUGCCAGUCAGGCCAGUUAUUGCUUGUCUUUAGGAGUUAGAGGAAUGUUCAUGUUGACUGACCCUAUAUCAUGCUUUAGGCAUUUUUUCCCCCUGAAAAUGUAAAGUUGACUGAAUCAGAAACUCAGCCAAGUAUGUUCUGUGUGCCCGUAAUCCCAGUCUGUGGAUUGCAGGGAUAGGAGACUUUUCUUUAAAUACAUGUAACAACCUGGGACCCAGCCAGCACAAGCAAGCUUGGCAUUUCAGAGGGUCACCAGACACACACUCAUUGUCUGUCCUCCCCACAUCUUUCCACCCCUGGGGGUAUCAGGAAAUGCACAGCCCAUUAGAAAACGUCCCUGCCUGUGAUUUGGAAGCUUGACAGGGAAGGAGGGAGAUCCAAAGGUGAUCUGGGUGAGUCACCAGGCCAGAUGACUCACCUCGAGUCUGCAGGCUGUGGUGCCAGAGAAGGGGGCUUCCAAGCGGGAACUCACAGGAGCUUCAGUCACCACCGAGAUCUGGCCCUUUGAUGGGUCAACAUCAGGACCAACACUGUAAUUCUUUACAGAUCCAAAAUUAAGAGGCCAAAGCCUACCUGCCAAUGCCCCUGGACACCUCAGUCUCCACCACCCAACUCCUGAGGUUCAAUUCCAACAGCCGAGUUCACUCCAGUCUUUUGUUUCUUCCUUUCUUUAGAAAUCAAGUGUUUAUUGAGCAUCUACUAUGCGCCAAGCAUUGAGCUGGGGCACUAUGGUUUACAAGGUAGACUCUCCCCGCCCUUAUAUCUCCUCCUCCCAAACACUAUCCCAACCCCACCUUUUCCACAGUGAAAACUGAAUUCAGACAGCAUUCACCCCUCCGGAGUAAUGUGGAGGAGACGGUCACGCACAGCUCCCGUGACUGAGGAAGCAGGCAGCAGAGGGGGAGGUAAUGGACAGCAUCAGGCCAUGUAUUCGCACCCGUUAUGUACAGCCAACCCUUCCGGCACCCAGAUUUAGCUGAUGAGAGCUUCCCAAAGCAAGUUUCAGUUGCUUCUCUUGAUAUCCACCCUGGUCACCUAUAUUCCCAUCCCUUAUACAGAAACAGCCAUUCGUCAUUUUGCUGGCAUCUCUGAAAGCCCAGUUCUAUAACUAGUCCUGGAGACACAGAAUUGGGCCUGAGGAACUCGACAGAACUCCUGCCAGGUGCUGAGAUACUGUAGCUGGAAAUGCACUGGUUUAGCCGGGAACGUUAAUGAUUGUUAACACCCUUGGAAAACCGAACAUGUUUAUGGUGCAGAUAGAUAUUCAUUAAAUGAUGGUGAUUCAUCCUUACUUUGGCUUUUGCAAAAUAUGUUAUGAACAAGUAAAUAAGUAGAGUUGUCUAGGCCUUUUCUUUUCAGUCAAAGUGUACUGGACAGUUAUUUAAAGAUAGUGGGUGAAGGUGGAAAUAAGAGAGCAAAGAUGGAGACAAUGAAAGAGCCCCAUUGAAGAUGGCUUCUCUAAAAAUGCCUUAAUUCCUGGCACGUACCACAUAUUUGCAUAUGAACUACUACUGUUUUCCAAACUGUCAGCCUCUGUUUGAAAUCAUUUGAGGGCAUGGUUUUGGAAAUGUGGUGGCUUAAAACCAGAACAGUCAUGACCUAAACCAGCAAAACUGGAGAAACGAUUUCCUUCUCAGCCUUGGGAUUCUUUGUUCUGUGCUGACCCACAGUUACCCAUGGCUACUUCCUGCUGUGUUGUACCUUCUUCCCAAGAUGUGUGUAGGGCAUUUUACCUCCUAGAGAUGGCUCUGUUGAGUUUUGUUUAGGAGGAGGCAGGAAAUGGGGAGGGAGAAUAUAAAGGCUUUGAUGUCUCGGGGCUGUAAACUGUUGAUGCAUUAACUUUUCCUCUUACUUGAACUUGUGCUGCACCUUUUAUUAAAAGUCUGGCCCCUACACUCACACAGGAAAGGCACUCCUGGGAAUGAACAGAAACGAAUACUUAUCAGACUCUCUGGGGUGCCAAGGCGGAUAAGCUCAGUUCGGGCUCCAGAACGGAAUUUAAAUAUGCGGAGCAUCGGUGGUUCUGCUAGGGUGAAAAACACAUCACCCGAGUCGUUUAAGAUGCACCUGGGGGACAGAGACACUAUCAGCUUUCUUGUGGGUAAUGGCACGUCUUGGAUUCCCUGCUUAGGCUCUGUGAGGUGUGUAACUGCGCCAUCCACUUCUACCUCCAGAUUACGGGAAAUAACCCAGGUUCCCUCCAGAGUCCCUUCUCAGUUGCCCAGACAGAGGCGAAUAGUCCUUCGUUCUGGGGGAAUUAAGCCUCUUUUUUAACCUUCAAAAGGAAAGGAAUAUCAACCUUACGUGAGACUAUAAACAAAAGGUUAAAGCCUCUAAUAGAUGCACUCCCUGGUUUCUUACAAAUGCUUUCUUUGUCUGCAAAUGUCACAUGAUUGUUUUGGGAUAGGAACAAUACAAGUCUAAUGGAAGAAAAGUUUUCAAGACCCCCUUAGUACUUUUGUUUUACCAAAACCUCCUCUUCCAGUACAUUAGCAGCUUCAUUCUUUGUGAUGCUUUCCUCUGCAUUCUUUAGAGUAAUUUUGUUACUUGACAACUAGACUUAAAGCUGCCUGUCGUCUCUUUUUAAAAACUUAAUCUUUAAAAAGACAUCAAUUCUUCUAUGCCUUAAAGGCUGUUUUUAUUCACCUCUCCCACACCCCCUCCACCUCACUUUCUUGCUUUUGUGUGUGUGUGUGUGUGUGUGUUUUUCUUUUUAAUCUCUUUCUUCUUUUCACAUGGUUCCUUGGGUAGAUUUCAAGUAUUCUAUAAAGAACUCAAACAGAGAAACAUAGUUGUCACCUUUUUUCCCCAGGACUGACUAAGAAUUCCUUCUUAAGUUUGAUCUUGGUGAAAGCUAGUUGCCCAAACACUGGGACAAGAAUUCUGAUCUGGGGGCGGGGUGGGGGGUUGGUGGUGGUGAUGGCAGGUCAGUGCCGAUAAUCAAAACAAGGGCCGUAUGAUCACAAGAGAGGACAGCCCAGGAGAUGCACCUGCUCAGGACACGGCCGGGGACUCAGUUUCAAAGACAAGCAGGUCCUUCUCCUUAGUCUCCUGAGAUGUGAAUCUCAUCCUGUAGCCAGAGAACUCGCUUAUGAGUUCUGUUUAUCAAUGUGAAAUAUUCGUGGCUCUGAGACACAGCUUCAAGGUCAAAGAGAACUGUGCUUGCAUUGUUUUGCUCUGCUGACUUACUCCAGGAAGGAGAUGGGGAGCCUUCUUUUGAAGGUGAACCACCUGUGGGAAGCUUAAGGAAAAAUUAGCCAAGGAGGUUACACCAGCCCUUAAUAAAAAGCACAAAACAGAGUCUUCCCUGGAGAUCUCAUUUGGGAAGAUGGCUAGGAGCAUGGUACCCUGGUUUCUUCUGGCCAUUAUCUUGGCUCUGCAGGGAAAAUUCUGGGCAAGUGCAGCAAGCACUAAGAUCUGACCUUUUCAGGGUGAAAUUUGCCUGUGACAGAUAGAAAUGCCGCUGAGUAGGGACUGGUUUUAGACAUCCUGCUCAACUGGAGAAUUCCAUGGACAGAGAAGCCUGGCAGGCUACCAUCCAUGGGGUCGCAAAGAGUUGGAAACGACUGAAUGACUAACCCUGACUGACUCAGCAGCACAGACUGAGAAAUUACCAACACAGAACGGCAAAAAAGGGGUAUAGAAGGCACUGUAAAUCUGGAGUUUCCAUUGCCACAUAUACGGCUAUUUUAAAACCUUGCAGAGCCCCAAGCAUCCUUACUUCAGAGGCUCCUUUCCGCAAUUAUAUCAAGCACUAGAAGGCACCAACAGCUUAGGCCUCAUAAAAUUUCAAAGUAACCAUAUGACUUGCAUUGAAUUGCAGGUGACUGGCUUACAUUAUAGAUAUUUAAACAUGACUUCUGAUUAUACAAUAUCUUUUUCAGCUGUGGGAGCCAGUGGCGUGGGGUUUCAUUGUUUCUUUCAUUGUUGUUGUUUUGCAAACCUCCAACAUUUAUGGAAGCCUUAGAAAGGCUCUUAAAGCCAGGCCUUUUUGCCUAAAGGACAGUGAUUGAAACAGCCAUUUGAUGUAAACAAGGAGACUGUUAAAUUAAGCCAAAGUUGGAGAUACUACCACCUAAAAUCUUUAAGGCUGGUUGCCUUCUGCAUUGUUUAUAGCCUUUUAAAUUUCAGCCAUUUGGAUCAAAGGAAAUAAAUAGGGUGCUUUCACGUGGCCUUGGCACGGUAGCACACACAACUACUCCAGGUGGAAUUCUAGGCUGGGUUGAUGUGCCAAAGCACACAGAUCUGUCUUAUGUGGUUGUAUUUAAUCACCACCACCCACCCCUCAAUUUCUAUGAAAAUAUAUUCAAAUGCUUUACUCACAAGAAAAUUCUAAAAUGAGACUCAUUAUUUAGAUCAUUGCUUCUCUCAUAGGAAGGGAUAUUGAUUUUGUGACAUAACCUUGAAGAAAAUCACCUGCCAUUAAAUACCUUGAUGGUCGCUUCUGUUCCAAUCCACAAGCAUACCCUGGUCUUCUCCCAUCUCCUCAGAGGGCUGCCCAGCCUCGCUCUUAAGUAGCACAUGUGUUAUAAAGACCCCUUCUAAAGCUCUGAAUAGACUCUCUGUUCAAGCAUAAUUCCAAAAAUGCAAUUUGAAUUUUGGGUACCACCUUGGUCCUUGAUAUGACUCCCUAAAUCAAUUCUAAUUCUUUAUAUCUAUUUUCAGUGUUUUUUUAAGCCACAAUCAACUGCAUUUAUAUGUUUGCAUUGGUCACUUCCCACCCACUCUGUCGCAGCUUUUGAGCAAGCCUAGACGAUAAAGAAUCUGCCUGCAGUGCAAGAGACCAGGGUUUGAUCCCUGGGUCAGAACGAUCCCCUGGAGAAGGGAAUGGCAACCCACUUCAGUAUUCUUGCCUGGAGAACCCCAUGGACAGAGGAACCUGUUGGGCUACAGUCCAUGGGGUCGCAAAGAGUCGGAAACAACUGAGCAACUAACACCUAACUUUUACACCAAUUCCCAUUUAAGACAUUUGAGAAAAGACCAGAAAUAUUUCCCUGUGUACCAGCUGCAGAAGCUUUGAAGCCCAUAACCAGGUUCUUUUUCACAUCAAAAGGCUCCUGUUUAUAGGUGGAAACCUUAAAGAGAAAUGGGGGCAUGCAAGGGGGUAGGAUUCACAUUUGAACACUGGAAGCUUUGUCUUUUUCAUCAUAAUCUCACUCUCCCAUCGCAUCACCCUUCUCUUUCUAAAAGCAGUAGCCUCUUUGCUGAGUGAGUGUUGACCUCCCACUUGGGGUAGUCGGGGUUCCACUUGCUUAAAUUCACUCAAGGAGAAUUAGAAGGCUCUCAGGGGCUCUGAGUGAUUCCAACACCCCUACUUUUCCUUUCCCAGUCGAAAAACGCUAUCCUUAUGCGGCCAUGUUUGACAAGACCAUGAUUUAACAAGUGGAAGUUCCUAUUUCAGAGAGCUGAAUAAAGCCAGCUUCUUGACCCUGCCCUGUCUCAGUCGUGAUUGGCCCAGAAGCAACUCAUCUGCUGAAAAGCCAAGGCAGCACAAAUGUUUUGAAACAAAUUCCACUAAAACUCUUGUGUCACUCUAUCACACCUGCUGUAGUUCCAGUUAAUCCAACUAUUUAAUAUUGUUAGGUACCAAAUUAAACAGCUGUACACAAAAUUUUAGAAAAAAUCAAUAUUGUAAUACAAUUAUACAUUAGCCAUCAAAAGUACCCGAGAAAAGAAAAUAUUGAACUGUUGUUUCUGUACUUGAAUUAUUCUUAGGAUUCUGUGGAGAGUGGCACUGCUCUGAUAAAGGGGAAACUGUUUCGAAUUCAAGAAUACUUGCAUUCAAGAGAAAUUGCGCGUCUCUCUGGGCCUUUGCUCAUCUGUCUGGGAUGUUACCUGUUCUGCCUUAGCAGACAGGGUUGUUUGGAGGCCAAAUUGAGCCAAGGGGAGAAGCUGUUCUGUAUCACCAAUGUCUAUGUAUUCAUCAUGGUGAGCAGGGCUAUGGGCUUUCAUCAGUGAGUUCCUUUCCCUUGUAUUAUGCCUUUCCCUCAUAGCUGUUUUUACUGAGUCCAUUCUGGGAUGCUAAAAAGUAAAACGGUAAGAAAGCACCAAUCAAUAUUUUGGGGAAGCUACCAAAUUAUUUGAAGGGAUGCUACUUAGGAAGAAACUUCCGUAGAUGUUUUGGUACAACUUAUAAAAAAGGUAAAGGUAACUCAAGCAUUUUGUAUGCACACACAAUACAUGGGGGCUGGUCUGCAGAACCUAUGGCUAGGAUGAACAUUUAUCUCCCCCUCCCAAAGGUUUAGAGCGCUGUGACCGAGCUGAGGGAGAGAGUUCCGGCUGGGCUGAGCGCAGGUGAAGAUUGCCAAUCCUCAGGUUAAAGAAAGCCAAUGAAGUUGAUGAAUUGCGGGUCACAGGAAACAGCCACAUCGAACUUCCUAGAUGAGCUGGUGUCUUUGUGCUAGGAAAGGAAGAGGAAGAAAAAUCACACCAUGUGAACUGAAUAUAAAAUGAGUGCUUUCAGUUGCAUAAGAGUGGGAAAAAUUCUGACCAAAAAAAAAAGUUCACUAUUUUAUAAACACUAACAAACAUGGCUAUAAAAGCACAUUUCAUAACACAAAAGCCUACGCAGAUGGGAGACAUUUUUAUAGCUUCCUUAAGUGAGUAGUUAAACCAGCAGUCUGAAAUCUCUUAGUCCCCUAAGAGUGGUUAAUUAAAUAUUUUCCUUAUUCAUUGCCCACAAAUGUGGGUUGUUUUUUUUUCUCUAUGCACCCUAGAAAAAUUCCCAAGACUAGACUUAAGGAGGACACAAGCUGGUUAUGUAGUAAAAUAAGAGUGCCUUUUCUGUUGGAUGUUCAUUUUAGUUCCCUGAGUUCCCAGGGCAUACAAUGUUUAGAAACUUCUUUCUCUAAACAUAAGAAUUAUUGCACACCACGAUUUUGAACUACCGAUUUCCAUAUCUUAAGCAGCUAUCAACUUGCCAAUUCCCUUUGGGUCUUCUUUACAUUUUUCUUAUAAUGUUUCCUUGUGUUCUGGAUUGUCCUCAGAAAGAGUUUCAGGGGUGGGGGGGGGCAUGAUUCUUUUUAAAUUGAUAGAAAUGAAACUACAGAUUUUUGCCCCCUUGUAUCUGUGAGCAUGAUCUCUAUCAGGCUUAAAAAUCUGCUUUAUCAUUUUUGUAUAUUUGACUAUUUUGUAUUCAGCAUUACUUGAUUCCUUAUGUGCAUGGCAAUGUAUUAAAAUGUGGGAUUUCUA